GAUUCACUUAUACACUCUCAACUAUGACAUCUUAGCUUUGACGGAAAGUAGCGAUCGCAAAGCAAUUCAUAACAAGUGUUUUUUGUUGUUGCGAAUAUUACGGGUUUUGCUACUUUUUUUAAAAAUACGUCAAUAAUACGUGAGAUGGAAAAGUUGGUGAACCAUUAAAGUUAAAAUAACGGAACUAAUACUCAGGGUGGUGUUCUUUCUGUGCUGCAUUUUGAAACAAAUAUUUCCAUCUUCAGACAACUCGAUGACUCGAUGUGUGACACCCGGAUACGUGAGCGUUCGGUCAUUGAUGCCCGGGCCCGAGUCCAUCAGGACCUAAACAGCAAUACUAAAAACAUAUACAUUUGCUCGCUCCACUUCAGUCCAGAUUGUUUCAUGCAUAUCGAUGGCUUGGAUGUACAACAUCGUCGAAAACUGAUACGAACAGAAAAGUCAACGAUUCUCAUGCCUCGGGAAAUCAAAUCCGGAAGGUUCGCCGAAAUGUCUUGGAUGAUACAAAGCAGGAGUUGAAUCCAUUAAAAACAUCCGUAACAUGCGCAGAACCGGUCCAGUUUUCUAAUGGGAGGAAACAUUACUAUCCCGAGAGGGAUAUUCCGUCAAGGGAAAUCGGGAGCAGCUCCAUCAUCUGAUUCCGGUUCUGAUAGCUUAAUUCAUGCACUGCGGCGAGAGGUAUCGGAGAGCUACAGAAAUCUUCAGGAAGCUAAAAUCCGUAUUGCCGAACCACAAUCUCCCCUAGGUUUUGAUUAGAAAGAAAAUCUAAUUGGAUUAUCUUUACGCUGUAAUGAAUAAAUAUAUGCAUUAAGCUAAAGUACCAUAGAAAUAAAUUAACUUAGACAAAUGUAUAAUACCGUCCCAUGAUACUUGCAA